rnacentral:tRNA from 1 species
GCACUCUUAGCUCAGUGGUAGAGCGUUGGUCUCGUAAACCAAAGGUCGAGAGUUCAAUCCUCUUAGAGGGCA